AAACUAAUUUAGUUUGGCGGCAUUUCAUCUAAUUAGAGGAAUUUGUUUUUUAAUCGAUACCACACGUUAAAUCUUACUUUAAAUUUUAAAUUUAUAUACCGCCAUCUUAAGAAUUAAUUUCAAAAUAUUUCUCUCAAAAAUAAAUAAAAAGUUAGGUCAAGGUGUAAUUUACAUUAAAGAAUCAAAUGAAUUACAUUAAAUAUAAUUUAAAGAUUAUAAAUUUACAAUUAAUAUAAAUAAGGAUUUAAAAGUAAUAUAUUAAUAAUAUUACAAUAUGAUUUAGAUAANAAAUGUGCACACAUCGCCC
rnacentral:rRNA from 1 species